UGGGGAAUAUUGGACAAUGGGCGCAAGCCUGAUCCAGCCAUGCCGCGUGAGUGAUGAAGGCCCUAGGGUUGUAAAGCUCUUUCACCGGUGAAGAUAAUGACGGUAUCAUAGGAGGAAGCCCCGGCUAAAUACGUGCCAGCAGCCGCGGUAAUACGUAUGGGGCGAGCGUUGUCCGGAAUUAUUGGGCGUAAAGGGUACGUAGGCGGUCUAUUAAGUCAGGUGUGAAAGCGUGAGGCUUAACCUCAUUAAGCACUUGAAACUGAUAGACUUGAGUGAAGGAGAGGAAAGUGGAAUUCCUAGUGUAGCGGUGAAAUGCGUAGAUAUUAGGAGGAAUACCGGUGGCGAAGGCGACUUUCUGGACUUUUACUGACGCUCAGGUACGAAAGCGUGGGGAGCAAACAGG
rnacentral:rRNA from 1 species